rnacentral:rRNA from 1 species
UACGUAGGGGGCGAGCGUUGUCCGGAAUUACUGGGCGUAAAGCGCGCGCAGGCGGCCGGCCGCGUCGGACGUGAAAGCCCCCGGCUCAACCGGGGCGGGUCGUCCGGGACGGGUCGGCUGGAGGGAGCGAGAGGGGGGUGGAAUGCCGGGUGGAGCGGUGAAAUGCGUAGAGACCCGGCGGAACACCAGGGGCGAAGGCGGCCCCCUGGCGCUCGCCUGACGCUGAGGCGCGAAGGCUAGGGGAGCGAACGGG